CGUCAUGUGGAUGGCGACACCGUGCAGGUUGACGAUCUGCAAGCCAUCGUCGAUUGGUUGCAAACCGGCCAUGCCGA
rnacentral:tRNA from 1 species